GACAGAGGAUGCAAGCGUUAUCCGGAAUGAUUGGGCGUAAAGCGUCUGUAGGCGGCUUUUCAAGUCCGCCGUCAAAUCCCAGGGCUCAACCCUGGACAGGCGGUGGAAACUACCAAGCUGGAGUGCGGUAGGGGCAGAGGGAAUUUCCGGUGGAGCGGUGAAAUGCAUUGAGAUCGGGAAGAACACCAACGGCGAAAGCACUCUGCUGGGCCGACACUGACACUGAGAGACGAAAGCUAGGGGAGCAAAUGGG
rnacentral:rRNA from 1 species